GACGUAGGGCGCGAGCGUUGUCCGGAUUUAUUGGGCGUAAAGAGCUCGUAGGCGGCUUGUCGCGUCGACUGUGAAAACCCGCGGCUCAACCGCGGGCCUGCAGCCGAUACGGGCAGGCUAGAGUUCGGUAGGGGGAGACUGGAAUUCCUGGUGUAGCGGUGAAAUGCGCAGAUAUCAGGAGGAACACCGAUGGCGAAGGCAGGUCUCUGGGCCGAUACUGACGCUGAGGAGCGAAAGCGUGGGGGAG
rnacentral:rRNA from 1 species